rnacentral:rRNA from 1 species
CCGGCGAUCGGCGCACGGGUGAGUAACACGUAUGAAACCUGCCCGUAGCAGGGGGAUAAGCGGAAGAAAUUCCGUCUAAUACCGCGUAACAACCCAUGGAGGCAUCUCUGUGGGUUUAAAGGAAGCGAUUCCGGCUACGGAUGGUCAUGCGUCGCAUUAGCUUGUUGGCGGGGUAACGGCCCACCAAGGCGACGAUGCGUAGGGGUUCUGAGAGGAAGGUCCCCCACACUGGUACUGAGACACGGACCAGACUCCUACGGAAGGCAGCAG